rnacentral:rRNA from 1 species
UACGGAGGGGGCAAGCGUUAUUCGGAAUUCUUGGGCGUAAAGGGCGCGUAGGCGGCUAGAUGUGUCAAAGGUGAAAUCCCUCGGCUCAACUGAGGAACUGCCUUUGAAACUGUCUGGCUUGAGGCCGGGAGAGGGUAGCGGAAUUCCCAGUGUAGCGGUGAAAUGCGUAGAUAUUGGGAGGAACACCAGUGGCGAAGGCGGCUACCUGGACCGGUUCUGACGCUGAGGCGCGAAAGCGUGGGUAGCAAACAGG